UACGUAGGGUGCGAGCGUUAAUCGGAAUUACUGGGCGUAAAGCGUGCGCAGGCGGUUCGUUGUGUCGGCGGUGAAAGCCCCGGGCUUAACCUGGGAAUGGCCGUUGAAACUGGCGAACUGGAGUGUGGCAGAGGGGGUGGAAUUCCGGCGUGUAGCAGUGAAAUGCGUAGAGAUGCGGAGGAACACCGAUGGCGAAGGCAGCCCCUGGGCUAACACUGACGCCUCAGGCACGAAAGCGUGGGGAGCAAACAGG
rnacentral:rRNA from 1 species